rnacentral:rRNA from 1 species
CAGCAGCCGCGGGAAUACGAAGGGUGCAAGCGUUAUCCGGAUUUAUUGGGUUUAAAGGGUCCGUAGGCGGAUCUGUAAGUCAGUGGUGAAAUCUCACAGCUUAACUGUGAAACUGCCAUUGAUACUGCAGGUCUUGAGUAAAUUUGAAGUGGCUGGAAUAAGUAGUGUAGCGGUGAAAUGCAUAGAUAUUACUUAGAACACCAAUUGCGAAGGCAGGUCACUAAGAUUUAACUGACGCUGAUGGACGAAAGCGUGGGGAGCGAACAGGAUUAGAGACCCCCGUAGUCCCUGUCUCUUAUAC